UUUUUUUCAACUUUCGAAUUACAUAUUUCAUCAAUUUUUAUCAAAAUUUCUAAAAAUUUGGUUUUUAGCUAAACCAGACGGGGGCUAAACGACUUCUGGUGGGAUUAACUAAUAUUUGUGUCAUAUCAUCUAGCCAAUUGGAGUAUUAAGGGUCCAAUAUAACUUAUUAAGUAUUUCCUAGUGCUUUGCAAUUGCAUAAACAUGUAUAAUUGUGUUGUAGGAUGUAAAUAAAUAUAUACCUACUUGUAAGUUUUUGUACGAAAAGGCAAAAGAAAUAACUAAUUUUUCAUAUUCUUCAUAUCUUUUUCUCUCUGUCUGUGUGGUUGUUUUUUCUUUGGUGAGGGCGAGGGUGUAUCAAAGGAUUUUUUCUCUUUUGUUGUUUAUGUUUCUUUCUUGUUUUCUUCUCUUCCCCCAUUCAAGUCAGGUUGAAAUGAUGAAACUAUUUCCCAAUCCAGGAACAAAUCAUUCCUCCUUGCACGCAGUUUGUUCUGCUUAUUUUUGCACGCAGUUUGUUUAAGUGCCUAUAUAUGUCACCUUAACUAAUACCACUACAAUUCCAGACCAGAUGGGAAUAUUGAUUGACCAUAUGAGUUGUACCAUGAAAUUGGAUUAACUGUAAUUGCUUGCCCAUUUUUGACAUUUUCACUUUUACACUAUAACACACCAAUCUUUGGACAGGCUAUACAGCCAUAUAUAGAAAACUAUUCAUUAACCUUCCAUUUCAAG
rnacentral:lncRNA from 1 species